rnacentral:rRNA from 1 species
CCUGAUCCAGCAAUGCCGCGUGAGUGAAGAAGGCCUUCGGGUUGUAAAGCUCUUUUGUCAGGGAAGAAACGGGGUUGGCUAAUAUCCGGCCUUAAUGACGGUACCUGAAGAAUAAGCACCGGCUAACUACGUGCCAGCAGCCGCGGUAAUACGUAGGGUGCAAGCGUUAAUCGGAAUUACUGGGCGUAAAGCGUGCGCAGGCGGUUUUGUAAGUCUGACGUGAAAUCCCCGGGCUCAACCUGGGAAUUGCGUUGGAGACUGCAAGGCUGGAGUCUGGCAGAGGGGGGUAGAAUUCCACGUGUAGCAGUGAAAUGCGUAAAGAUGUGGAGGAACACCGAUGGCGAAGGCAGCCCCCUGGGUCAAGACUGACGCUCAUGCACGAAAGCGUGGGGAGCAAACAGGAUUAAAUACCCUGGUAGUCCACGCCCUAAACAAUGUCUACUAGUUGUCGGGUCUUAAUUGACUUGGUAACGCAGCUAACGCGUGAAGUAGACCGCCUGGGGAGUACGGUCGCAAGAUUAAAACUCAGG